rnacentral:rRNA from 1 species
GAACCUUACCAGGGCUUGACAUCCAGUGCAAAGCUAUAGAGAUAUAGUGGAGGUUAACAUUGAGACAGGUGGUGCAUGGUUGUCGUCAGUUCGUGCCGUGAGGUGUUGGGUUAAGUCCCGCAACGAACGCAACCCUUGUCGUUAGUUACUAACAUUAAGUUGAGGACUCUAACGAGACUGCUAGUGUAAGCUAGAGGAAGGUGGGGAUGACGUCAAAUCAUCAUGCCCCUUAUGUCCUGGGCUACACACGUGCUACAAUGGCUGGUACAAAGAGUCGCAAUCUCGCGAGGGGGAGCUAAUCUCAAAAAGCCAGUCUCAGUUCGGAUUGAAGUCUGCAACUCGACUUCAUGAAGCCGGAAUCACUAGUAAUCGCGAAUCAGCUAUGUCGCGGUGAAUACGUUCUCGGGUCUUGUACACACCGCCCGACACACCACGAGAGUUGGUAAUACCAGAAGUGGGUAGCUUAACCGCAAGGAG